UCCUGACUCAGGGAGGUACUUUAACUGAAAUAACAGGCUCGGCUCUAUGAGCUUGAGUAUAUAAUGAAGUGAAUUUAAUCCACUCUCACAAUCCUAUUUUAGGGCAAGUCUGGUGCCAUCCCCCGCGGUAAUUCCAGCUCUAAUAGCGUAUAUUAACGAUGUUGAUGUUAAAAAGCUCUUACUUGAAAGUCCGGCCUUCGGGUCUGUCUGGGAGGCUGUUGGAUUGGGUAAAACCAUUCUUUCAGUUGAAUAGACUUUUACUGUGAACAAAAUAGAGUGCUCAAAGCAAGCGUUAGCUUGAAUAUCUUAGCAUGGAAUAAUAGAAUAUGACUUUAUUCACUAUGUUGGUUUUUGAAUACAGUAAUGGUUAACUGGAACAGUUGGGGGCAUUUGUAUUUAAUAUUCAGAGGUGAAAUUCUUACAUUUAUUAAAGACAAACUAAUGCGAAGGCAU
rnacentral:rRNA from 1 species